rnacentral:piRNA from 1 species
UUUUGAGCCAGGGUUGUACUACG